AAUUAAUAACUGUAUUAUGAUACUAUUGUUACAUAAUCUUCUAUGACGAGCGUGCGGCAAAUAGCUCUCAGCUACUCGACUGUUACUGAUGUCCCUAUAACAUCCACCAAAUAUGUCUAAUGCUCUCGAGCGAUACGGAAGUGAAUUCAGAAAUGGAUUAGAUACAACGAUUAGUUACCCGUGCAUGAAACCAAAAUAUAUUCGAGAAAGAGUUGCGAAAUCGUUUAACCGUGUUUCUGCUAUGAAGAAUCAAUUAUCCAAGUCACGUUGACGAUGAGUCACGUAGAGUAAUUAAUUUUUCAAGGGCGAAAUAGAACGCAUAUAGAACGACUUCAAAACAAAAAUCAAUUGAUACGAUUAUCUAUAAAAUUGAAAAAAUACUGUAAAUUCAUAGAUAUAGAAAGUGCACGAAGAACAUUUAACAAGAAAUAUGACUAUAAUUUUUUGUAUUUGACAGUGAAACUUCACAGAGACAAAUAAAACUUUUGCACAGA